CGUAUAUUCCACUGUGUGGAUUAGUUUUGUCCCCUCCCCUAGCCCGUACAAACUUUGUGUGUCUCGCAAUUGAAUCAGAAGAUGGCGGAAGCUCCCCCACGACUCAGCCGGUUUUUCUGUCACCGAUGUUCUGCAGAGAUUAGCCCUCUACUCCCGGAUUACACCUGUCCCCGCUGCCAGUCUGGAUUCAUAGAGGAGCUUCUGGAGAGCAGAAGCGCUGAAAAUGAAGCCACACCCACCCCCUCCACGAGCAGCAGUCAGAGCCGGCAGCCAUUUGAGAGCUUGGAGCAGCACCUCUUCGCGUUCCCCCCCGGGUACGGCCAGUUCGCUCUGGGCGUGUUCGACGAGGGCUUCGACUUCGGCGUGCAGCCGGAGGACAACCGCGAGGCGGAGGCCCGGCGGGAGCGGGAGCAGGCGUACCGCCAACGCUACGGCGCUAGGCAACCACGGGGCCGCCACGCCCCCCGGCGGCCGGCCGGGCGGCACGAUGGCGUGCCCACGCUGGAGGGAAUCAUCCAGCAGCUGGUGAACGGCAUCAUCGCGCCCACGGCCAUGGCCAACAUCGGCGUCGGGCCCUGGGGAAUGCUGCACUCGAACCCCAUGGACUACGCCUGGGGGGCCAACGGGCUGGACGCCAUUAUUACGCAGUUGUUGAAUCAGUUUGAGAACACCGGACCCCCACCUGCAGACAAGGAGAAGAUCAAAAGCCUCCCCACAGUGCAGAUCACAGAAGAGCACGUAGGCUCUGCCCUGGAGUGCCCUGUGUGUAAGGAAGACUACGGUGUGGGAGAGAGCGUCAGGCAGCUGCCCUGUAAUCACCUGUUCCAUAACGACUGCAUAGUGCCCUGGCUGGAACAGCACGACACGUGUCCGGUGUGCAGGAAGAGCCUGAGCGGCCUGAACACGGCCACCGACCCCCCGGGCCUCUCGGGGAUGAGCUUCACCGCCCCUUCGUCCUCUUCCUCCUCCUCCUCCUCCUCUCCCGCCAGCUCACCCAGCAAUGAGAACACCGCCAAAAACUCGUAAUGACUUGCCCCCCCCCCAUUCCGGCUCCUUCCUCUGCACCACGGCACCGCCCCCUGUUAGGGCCCCGCCCCUGCCAUAGCCCCGCCCCCUGUCACGGCUCCGCCCCAUUCCACAGCACCGCCUCCUCGCGCCUCAGUGUGCACUUCCAGGGCCCCGGCCCAAACGCGCGAGCCGGGGGCUGGUGUGACGUAGACCAGGCGGAUUCCCUGCACCCCCCCCUUACCCUUUAAACCACCCCCCCCCCCUUCCAAAAGCAGCUAGUGACCAUUUCUACAUAUGCUUGGAAUUUGACCUCUGACCGCCUACCCAUGGGCUGAUGCUAGCUAGGGGAGAUUGGGGACAGGGGGGAAGGGGGGGGGCGGGCUGAGGAACUUCAGACAGAACCAGCCAAUCAGGACAUGGGAUUGGCUGCGUCUGACAUGGGAGGGACUAAUGAAAUAAGGCCGCAUAGAUACCGCAAACAACACUGAACCAGCCCUGCCCUGCACUGAGGGAGUAGUUCUGUGUGUGUGUGUGUGUGUGUGUGUGUUUGUUCAGGGACUGGGGAGGGGCACUCGAUUUGCACACACACACACACACAUUUUUCUUUUCCUUUUUAAUUUUUAACUCUCCAUUAGCAACACAGCUGUUUGCGAAGGGGAAGCAUAUUUGUACAUAGUCUACGUGUUGAUGUUUUUUCAGUUGCUGUUCAUCAGUACAGCCAAAGGAUCAAAGAAUAUCCUUGCAAAAUGGGGUGGGGUGAGGGGGGCUGGGGUGGGGGUGAGUUCGGCAUCACAAUCUUUUUAUUCAUUUACACAACAGCAUAUGUUUGCUGUUCUUAAAGGUACAGUAAACAUAAUGCUGCGCCAGUGACCUUCAUUCCCAACCCUGCGGCCCCCCAGGACCAGGACUGAAGCCCGCUGGACUAGGCAAAGCUUUUAAAUGCAGUUCGGCAAAAAAAAAAAAAAGAAGAAGAGAAGAUGUGAAAGAAAAGUAAGAGCGUGUGAACUGGACCGAUCCCUCGUUCUGUGUCUCAGACUCUGAGUGCUGGCGGUCGCCUCCUUUCCGAACGGCCCCUGGGGGGGGCGCAGAGCCGAGGCUGAAUUCUCCAGCGUUUCUCUGCGCGUUCGAUGCGUUUCCUGAACGCGCUUUAUCGCACAGGAAGUCUUAUCCACGCAGGGGAGCCGUUCCUCAAAUGUUUCAUCGCCACGAAUAUGACAGUCAGGUUCUCACCGUUUUGUUUUUUUGUUUUCCUCCAUGCAUAUUCAGUGAAUUUGAGUUUUUAUUUUUUAUUUUAUUUUAUUUUAUUAACUUAUUUUAAGUUAAUGACAUGUUUUUGUAAGAAUGAUAAUAAAACAAUGUAAGAUAUGAAUGUGGAUUGUGGAUGGUAGUGAAGUGGUAGACUAAGUGUCAGAAGCACAGAUCUUGGGGGGGGGGGGUUGGGGGGUGGGGGCAGGCGAUGUAUUCGGAGAAUGAAACUGUUCUUACUGUCAAUCCCAGCACGUCUGCUCACAGGUGUUUGCCACUGGUGGUCCAUGUCUGCCUGUAUUAUGAAUGAUUUUUCGUGCCAUUGCAGUUUUCAAGGCUGCAUACAUUAUAAAGUAGUUUCAUAACAUAAA